UUAGAAAUGAUGUUUCUGUUUUACCGCCCCAGUCUGAGAAUUCAUGACUGAUUGGUAUGCUCUCUGAUCCUGC